GACAGAGGAUGCAAGCGUUAUCCGGAAUCAUUGGGCGUAAAGAGCGUGUAGGCGGCUUGGUAAGUCCGCUGUGAAAGUCCAGGGCUCAACCCUGGAAUGCCGGUGGAAACUGCCAAGCUAGAGUCCGGAAGAGGCGAGUGGAAUUCCUGGUGUAGCGGUGAAAUGCGCAGAUAUCAGGAGGAACACCAAUGGCGAAGGCAGCUCGCUGGGACGGUACUGACGCUGAGACGCGAAAGCGUGGGGAGCGAACAGG
rnacentral:rRNA from 1 species